GGAUGCAAGCGUUAUCCGGAUUUAUUGGGUUUAAAGGGUGCGUAGGCGGGAUAUCAAGUCAGCUGUGAAAUGUAGAUGCUCAACAUCUGCACUGCAGUUGAAACUGGUGUUCUUGAGUGCGUAAGAGGUAGGCGGAAUUCGUCGUGUAGCGGUGAAAUGCAUAGAUAUGACGAAGAACUCCGAUUGCGAAGGCAGCUUACUGGGCCGCAACUGACGCUGAAGCUCGAAGGUGUGGGGAUC
rnacentral:rRNA from 1 species